UACGUAGGUGGCAAGCGUUAUCCGGAUUUAUUGGGCGUAAAGGGAACGCAGGCGGUCUUUUAAGUCUGUUGUGAAAGCCUUCGGCCUAACCGGAGUAGUGCAUUGGAAACUGGGAGACUUGAGUGCAGAAGAGGAGAGUGGAACUCCAUGUGUAGCGGUGAAAUGCGUAGAUAUAUGGAAGAACACCAGUGGCGAAAGCGGCUCUCUGGUCUGUAACUGACGCUGAGGUUCGAAAGCGUGGGUAGCAAACAGG
rnacentral:rRNA from 1 species